GACGAACGCUGGCGGCGUGCCUAAUACAUGCAAGUCGAACGAAGCUGUUUUAACUGGUGCUUGCACCGACUUAAACAACUGAGUGGCGAACGGGUGAGUAACACGUGGGUAACCUGCCCCAAAGCGGGGGAUAACAUUUGGAAACAGAUGCUAAUACCGCAUAAUCACAGAAACCACAUGGUUUCUGUGUCAAAGAUGGUUUCGGCUAUCACUUUGGGAUGGACCCGCGGCGUAUUAGCUAGUUGGUAAGGUAAUGGCUUACCAAGGCAAUGGUACGUAGCCGAACUGAGAGGUUGAUCGGCCACAUUGGGACUGAGACACGUCCCAAACUCCUACGGGAGGCAGCAGUAGGGAAUCUUCCACAAUGGACGAAAGUCUGACGGAGCAACGCCGCGUGAGUGAAGAAGGUUUUCGGAUCGUAAAACUCUGUUGUCAGAGAAGAACGUGUGCGAGAGUAACUGUUCGUGCAGUGACGGUAUCUGGCCAGAAAGCCACGGCUAACUACGUGCCAGCCGCCGCCGUAA
rnacentral:rRNA from 1 species